UCACCCGGAAAUGAGUGGCUAUAUAACAUUCAUUCAUCUACAACUUCAACCAAACCAUCUCAGUCCUCGGUUAAGCCGGUUCUAUAUCCUCCUAGUCCGCUGCCAUCAUUUAAAACGUCAUUCACGGCCCAAAAACCAUCUCCAUCACCUAAAGGACUGACACCACCUAAAUCAACCACACCGUCUCCGAAACCCUCUUCCUCGUCUUCUAAGCCAUGUCCAUCCCUUAAGCCAACUCUAUCGGAACUAGGGAAAGGAACGUACAAAGCAGUCUAUCCAAAGGAUGCGUUACCGAUUUACAUGAUUCCGAAGGAUAUCGAGGAUUUAAUCAAGAGAGACAUUGUGCCUGAAGUUUUGGGAUUGACAUCACCUAAACCAACCACACCGUCUCCGAAACCCUCUUCAUCGUCUUUUAAGCCAAGUCCAUCCCUUAAGCCAACUCUAUCGGAACUAGGGAAAGGAAAGUACAAAACACUCAAUCCAGAGGAUACAUUACCGAUUAAGCCGGUUCUAUAUCCUCCUAGUCCGCUGCCAUCAUUUAAAACAUCAUUCACGGCCCAAAAACCAUCUCCAUCAC
rnacentral:lncRNA from 1 species